UAUGGCUUCUCACCCGGAAUCAGCUCUGUGGAGUGUAAGGCAGGAGAACAUCCUUGUCAGUCAGCUCUUCACAGCAGUUCAAGGAAGAUGGAUGUCAUCCAUCCUACAGCUGCCAAACUCCAGUGCUGACCAGCCAGAAUCAAGCAGGUCAAGCUUUCCUCCCUGGAUACCCCAAGCCAAAGGUCACUUCAGUUAAGGGAGAACACUUCUGCUAAUGACAGUGAGUGCUGAAUCACAGACAGAUGGAUCCAUGCAGCACACUUACACUGAUACUGCCAACAGAGGGAAAAUGCAGCAACGAACUAGGAAGGAACAACUUUAAUGUUUUUAAUCACAUAGGACUAAAAAAUACUGUCAAGCUUCAUUUCGACAAAGCUUCAAGAAUACUACAGACUUCUGAGUGAAAGAAGUGGAACACCUAAAAAAGUCACAAUCACAGCAGAAAGUAAAGACCAUUUAAUUAAAAGAUUCUU